rnacentral:rRNA from 1 species
UACGUAGGUCGCAAGCGUUGUCCGGAUUUACUGGGCGUAAAGAGCGCGCAGGCGGCUGGUCAAGUCCGAUGUGAAAUCUCCCGGCUCAACUGGGAAACUGCAUCGGAAACUGAUCGGCUUGAAGAUGGGAGAGGGUAGUGGAAUUCCCGGUGUAGUGGUGAAAUGCGUAGAUAUCAGGAGGAACACCGGUGGCGAAGGCGGGUCUCUGGGCAACAACUGACGCUGAGGAGCGAAAGCGUGGGGAGCGAACAGG